rnacentral:lncRNA from 1 species
AUGUGUGUGUGUUUUGGGGGGGAAGAUCCUCGAUUUCUCAGGGCUCCUAGAGCUGGGGAGAAGAAGAUGCGGUCUUGCUGGCUUGCUGCUGCCCCCGGUCUGAAAGAAGGAGAAAAGGGCCAUCAUUGGAGGGCUUUCAGUGCCAAAAUGUGGACCAGCCCGGCAAGGUCAGAGGUCCUGGACCGCGGGAGACCAAGCUCGUACAUGCUGCAGCUGGUAUCAGAUGCAUAUUGAAAAAUUCAGCACAGACACAGAAUAUGGACUGCUCUGCACUUCUAAAGGAAUUAUGACUUGAAAUUCAUGCUGCUACUGUUCUUUUAAGGUAUAAAAUAAAACAAAAUAGAUUGUGCUUUAUGUUCUCA